rnacentral:misc_RNA from 1 species
CUGAUGAGUGCAAAUGGCAGUCUCUCCGGCGCUGCGGGUGAAGAGGACCGAGGGCCCGUGUUUCUGCACGAGCCUCCAUCCCGACUCCACUUCUCCAAUACAACUGGAGCCCUUUUACCUUGUUCUGCUCAUGGCAAUCCACCACCACAAGUUGAAUGGCUGAAUGGAGGAGAUGUAGUAACGGAGGUCGCCGAUGUGUGCAUCGUCCACAAAAAUGGAUCACUACAGUUUUUGCCUUUUCCGCCCUACGCAUAUACGGCUGGCGUUCACGCUGCCACCUACUCUUGUCGAGCUUCCUCGUCUGCUGGCACUAUCAUCUCUCGACCAGUUCACGUCAGGGCUGUGGUACGUCAAUACUAUGAAGUACAAGUAUACGACGAGUUUGUGAUAAGUGGCAACACAGCCGUGAUCAAGUGCCACGUUCCUUCCUUUGUUCGGGAUUACGUCAGCGUCACAUCUUGGAUCAGAGGAAACGGCGAGAGGAUAGUUUCAGAUGUACUAACAGGUGGACGAUAUUCCGUAUUCGCAACAGGGGAGCUUCACAUCCGUCAUGUCACCAAAGCCGACGAGUUCCAGUCUUAUCACUGUGAAACUCAACACAUUCUGACCGAUGAAACCACAGUCUCCGCUCUUGCCGGCAGGUUGAUGGUGAACGAACCUCGGUCUUCUGUGCCGCCAAGGAUCACAGAUUCUCGGUCAAGUAUCAGAGCAUCUGUCAGGGACACCGUGGAGCUACCCUGUGCUGCUCAGGGAUAUCCGAUUCCCCAGUAUAAAUGGCACCGUGUAAAUCGAAAAGAGGAGGUCCCAGUAGUACAAGAUGGCCGGAUCAAACAAGUAGGAGGAUCUCUCCUCAUACGGCAAGUUACGGCUGGAGAUGCUGGCAGAUAUGUUUGUGUGGCAUCAAGCAGUGUUGGCUCAGAAAGAACACACACAACACUAGAGGUUUGGGCUCCGCUGACUGCUCACAUAACCCCUCAAGUGCAGACUGUUGAUGUAGGGAGCAUUGCUACUUUCAACUGCUCACCAGAGGGAUUUCCCCAAGAAAGCAUAUUAUGGUUUAAGGACGGCGAACGCUUAGAAGUGACCGCCCGUGUUCGGGUGGAGGGUCAACGCACCGUGAUAGUGGAGGACGUUCGUCGAGAGGAUCGAGGGAUGUACCAGUGUCUUGUAAAGAACUUCGAAGACACAGCUCAGGGGUCCGCUCAACUCAAACUCGGAGAUGCGUCGCCCCAGUGGAGGAGUACAAGCGGCCCAAAAGUUGUUUCGCCGGGAGCAACUGUGAUGUUAAUGUGUGCCGUACAGGGCUCUCCUCCGCCCGUAGUUACAUGGACUUUGCAAGGCCAACCUGUUCCUAAUAACGAUCCCAGGAUCAAGCAUUCACAAAAGGUUGAAGGUGAUCAUGUCGAGGGUCAACUGAAUAUCACAAGCAUCCGAGUAGAAGAUGGAGGGGAUUGGACAUGUGAGGCGAGGAACCGGGCAGGCCGGAUAGAACAUGCAGGUCGAUUGGACGUUCGCGGCCCUCCCACUAUUCGACCAAUGAGACCCUUACGGGUAGUGGCAGGCAGAACUGCAAUGUUCAACUGUAUAGUGGCAGGAUAUCCUAUUGAAUCUAUUUAUUGGGAGAAAAAUGGUGUUGUGCUUCCUGUAUCAGAGCGACAAGAGGUUCACAGCAAUGGUACCUUAGAAAUUCGGCAAGUGUCACGUGAGGCCGACAGUGGACAGUACAUCUGUGUAGCCACAUCUGGUGAAAACACCGCAAGAGCAAACCUUCAAGUAAACGUCAUGGUACCGCCGCAAAUAGAUGAGAGGAUGUUUUCCCUUGGGUCUGGAUUCCCUGCCAAGUCGCGAGCAAGGAUUAUGUGUGUUGUAGAACGAGGAGACUUGCCUUUGUCAUUCACCUGGACGCACGACGGCCGCCCCAUAACGCCAGGACCAAGCACAUCUAUUCGAUCACUCGAUGAAGUUACAAGCGUCUUAUUGUUUACUUCACUUCGAGAAGAGGAUGGUGGCAAAUAUACUUGCACAGCUACCAAUGCAGUUGCUUCAGACUCUCGCACUGUAGAACUUGUUGUGAAGGUUGCUCCAACCUGGAAGGUAGAGCCAGAGGAUGCGUCAGUGGUUGUUGGAGAAGACCUGUUGCUGCCUUGUGCUGCCAAUGGGUCUCCGACGCCUACGACCACAUGGCGCAGGGCGGAAGGCGCUGUUCCAAGGCAAUACCGUCCUGUGACUUCCCUAGGAGAAAAUGUCAGAGUGAGUUCUAACAGCAGCCUAAUGGUGCAGAGCAUCAAAAGGAACCAGGGAGGAGAGUUUCUGUGCAGUGCUUCCAAUGAUGUAGGGUCAGAUCUUUCUAAAUCUAUACGAGUUACUGUAAGAGUGCCACCACAGUUUGAAGAACAUGAAGAGAAUGUCACUGUGUCAGCCGGGCGAAGGGCAAUGUUGAAAUGUGAAGCUUACGGUGAUCUUCCAAUAGCCGUUACAUGGACAACUGGGAAUCCAGCAACAAGGAUUACAACACCGGGUUUAAAUGACGGCCAUCUAAAAAUCAAGGAAGCUGUUUUAAAUGGUUCAUUGGCAUCUUUUCCCACGGGAAGUUCUGUACGUACAGGGUCGCCAGUGUCAACCGAUCGCGAACAAGGUUUCCGAUCUGUUUUAAGUGUUUCUACAAAAUCUAGACACGAUUCAAAAGUUUUUUUUUGUCUUGCCACGAACAUUUAUGGGAACGAUACAAAGACCAUCAGUCUCAUUGUUCAAGAGGUACCAGGGACACCGGGCCCACCUCGGAUUAUAGACAGUGGAUCGCGCACAGUCAACCUCACCUGGUCAGCUCCUUCUCACGAUGGCAAUUCUCCAAUCACGACUUAUCGUAUAAUGAUUAUCAACAGCACAGAUUCUUGGAUGAAUGUUGGCCGCAUGAAGACCGUAGAAGUAAGCAUGCCAAUCGCUCGCAUAGACGACCUCAUGCCCGCUCAGUCCUACUUAGUUCGAGUAGUGGGAAUCAACAGUGUUGGCGCCUCCAAGCCAAGCCCUGAGGUGCGCAUCUCAACAGCCCACGAACCCCCGACAGCCACGCCGACCAGUGUCCGAAUCAUACCACUUUCUUCCACAAGUUUAAGGGUUACAUGGCAGCCUCCAGACACUGUCAUGGCGCAGAGAGCGAGUCUUGGCUAUUACGUUGGCUAUAAAGUGGCCAAUUCCUCCGAGCCAUUCCGUUACCAGAAUAUAGAUCCUUCACCAACUAUCGUCUAUCGACCUGAGGUUACACUGAAGUCCCUACAGAAAUUCACGAGUUACGAGGUUACCGUUCAAGCUUUUAAUUCUGCUGGAGCCGGGCCACGAACAUCACCAAUCACAUCUACGACGGAGGAGGAUGUUCCUAGUGAAGCACCGCGCGACGUCCACUGCAGCAGUUUGUCGUCGUCAUCUAUCCUUGUUCGCUGGACACCACCGCCUCCUACUUCGCUGCAUGGUAUUCUUCAAGGCUACAAGCUAGUUUACCGACCAGUUCACCGAAACAGAUUCUUCCAUCCUGAUGAUGUGAGUGAGAAAACUGUUGUGACUUUGUCAUCGUCACUGCUAGGCUUAGAUCGAUACACUAAUUAUAGUGUCAUGGUCGCAGCUUACACAAGAAGAGGAGAUGGUGUUCGAUCUGACCCGGUGCACUGCGUCACAGAGGAAGACGUUCCUGGGCCUGUCGAAUCUGUGAAAGCACUAGCUGUUGAUGGUCAGAGUGUUCUUGUGGCCUGGCGCCCUCCCAAAUUGCCCAACGGAGUUAUUACAAAAUACUCGGUGCAUCUUAUUCACCCGGAUCAGCAGGAUGCCUCUAGAACACCGUGGGGCAGUAAUAACGGAGGAAGUGGGUCAUGGUCCGUCCCAGGUUCACGCAGCCCUUCAGGUCCAUCAUGGGAAAGCAGAAGCUCCACUGACAAUGCUGACAACAUAGGCCGCUCAUGGGUGGUGUCAGGUUCCGAGCGUCAGUAUUUGGUGGCAGGACUUGUAGCUGCCAACGCCUACGGUUUCACUGUCCGAGGCUCGACAUCAGUCGGUGAAGGACCCACAGGCAGAAUGGUCAUCCAAAGGCCACGACAAGACGCCCCAGCUGCCAUUGCCUCAUUUUCUGAUAAAACAACAGCUGUCUGGGGAGAGGAAAUGCGCCUUGCUUGCCGAGUUGUUGGAAAUCCCACGCCAACUCGAACCUGGACAUUCAAUGGGAAAGUGAUAUCCUCCAAUGAUCAAAGAAUGAAGGAAUACCCGGAUGGAAAUUUGCUUAUUACUGAUGUGAAGGCGCAAGACACUGGGAACUAUACCUGCUCAGCCUCUAACAUUCACGGCUCUGAUGUCAUCACUUAUACGCUCACUGUUCAAGUUCCUCCAUCGCCGCCACUUGCUUAUGUGUCAGAUGUCACUUCCACAACACUGACUGUUCGUUGGCGGACAACUAAUAAUGGUGGCGCUCUAAUCCUAGGAUACUAUCUUUACGAAAAACGUGAGUUUGGAGAAUGGCGUCGUAUAGAAGUACCUGCUGUAGCAGACUCCUACACAUUAACUGGACUUCAGUGCGGCACACGGUACCAAGUCUAUGUCACUGCCUACAACCAUGUCGGAGCAUCACAACCGAGUGAUGCCAUUCCUACUAAAACAUUGGGUCGAGAGCCAAUAGUACCUACGCAAUCUUCCCUUCUACGUGUUAAUGUGACUUCGAUAAGUCUCAACCUGGCAGCGUGGCUGGAUGGCGGGUGCCCCAUCACCUCAAUGGUGGUCGAAUAUAAGGAGCGAGGUGUGGCUUCCUGGACUCUUGUCUCCAAUCAUGUUCGAUGGGAUAACGAAACGGAAUAUGUUGUAUUAGACUUGAAUCCGGCACACCGUUAUACCCUAAGAGUGACUGCACAUAAUUCGGCCGGAUCGUCAGUAGCUACAUAUCCUUUUACAACACUUACGCCCCUAGGAGCAACUUUAUCUCCGGAAGUAGUUGUUCACGGCGCCGUGGGUACAGCCCCAUGGUAUCUGGAUUCUCAUAUCCUGAUGGCUGUCGUCGUUGCUUGCAUCCUAGUGGUCCUUGCUGCCUGUAUUGCAAUAGCUUAUACUUGCAGGCGUACUAGGACUCAUACACAAACCUAUAAAGAGGUUAGCCAUGUCCACAAUGAUCUGACACCUGAUUCUGGUCUGACGUCGGAUACAAUGACCAGAGUUCACAGUCUAGAAAUCCUUGAGGCUUAUACUCCCUCAACACUGCCUUUGGGAGCUUAUGACGAGAUAUCCCCCUACGCAACCUUCAGGAUGCCUGGCAAUAAUAAAACGCCCCCGCCUCCACCUUUACCUUCGGUCAGUGAAUCUCAGCCUGUGGUGAGUGCUGUGGAGACGAACUACAGUCGAGUGAAAAGAAAAUGUCCCAUGCCCCCAGAAGGAGGCUUGCCGCCGACCCCUGGGAAUGCCUCAAGUGAUAUCACUUGCGAAAAGAACAACAAAAGCAAGAACGUUAGCAAGUGCCCUUCUAUAAAGGAAAAAGCAACCACCAAAGAAGCAAGUGGGUCAUCUGUGACGUCAGUAAGCAGUAAUCACGAAGAAUUAGUCCGAGCUUACCAUGCCCACGCUAACGAUUCUCCAACCACACCAGAGUCUGGCCGCCGAAACAAGUGUGGAACAACAAAAAAGGACCUGAAGUGAGUGUGUUCUUCCCAAAAGAUGAAGUGCUUACCAACAAGUGGCUAAGAGCAAUUAAGAGGGAUAACUUUGCUCCUAUGGCCAGUAGCAAGGUGUAUGAACUUUUUACGAAGGACAACUUGUCGGGAGAUCUAUGCCACAGACGAAAAAAUUGGGAGGAGAGUGAUAGCACCACCAAAGAACUCUUUCUUCCCAACUGUAAACCUUAAUACCAUGGCCACCAAAAAAGAAGGCCUGAUGCAUUGCGUUCGAAGGACAGUGAUAAUAUACAAGCACUCAAGACCAACACUUGACUCAAGGCGAGAAGGGAGAGAAGAAACAGCUCUAAGAAAAGUUUUGCUGCAGUGUUGCUAAUAAAAACCAACAAAGGAGAGAGAGAGAAUUUCAUAACAUCCAUGAAUCCCAGGAAUAUGUCAAAUUUAUAAAUUAAACAUUCUAGACUGAAAUUCGAGAAGAUGAUUCUCUUAUGAUCUGCCGAGUAGUAGAGUCACCAUAAUCAUGUAUACUGUUCUCUGCGGUUGUUAAGCCAGUAUGUACAGUCUUGGUGUUUUUGAAAGAUGUACAGGCUAAGAAGAUAUACAGUUCCUUCCAUUGUCAAUUGUAAAUGUUAGACAAUUUGAUUAAGAAAGCAAUGAUGUUAAUUCAUGCAGUGCAACGACUUUAACAGAUCUAGCUCUCUCUCUUUGCUAACUGCUAUAAAGGAUGAAUAUUUUCAGCAUCUGGCCACUCUUAAGUUUAAGGGUACUGCACCAUUAGAAGGAUUUCUGGGUGAAAUACUUGUAACCCUGGUGCUGAGCAACAAGACCAAAAUUUCUAAUUGUACAUGAAAAACAAUUUCAAAUUACUGAAUGUAGCAGGCAAAAUAGUAACGUUAACGAGACUUGAAAUUCACAUAAAGCUUUAUUUUGAAUACAAAGGUGGAAAUAUUGUUGGUGUAGGCAUUCAAUAGCUGUACACCUGCAACUAGUGCCAUGGUAGGUAGUAAUGUUUCUAUACCUCAGAUGUCUACAUAUUACCAGCAAAAUUCAUGAAGGGUGAAAUUCUUGCAUGGAUGUAUAAGAGAGGUGAUAUCAGGAUUAGUGGAUGUAGGCUUCUGUGUCUGCCCUUAUUACAGACAACUAUGCUAUUGAUGGAAAAGUAAUGUCCUAUUUUGCCUAAGUUUCUGAAUACAUUUUUUUCGUAGAUGGUGGACAAUCAUGAAUGUUCAAUCUCCCUUUAAAGGAGCUCGUCUGAACAAUAAUUUUGCCUCUCCACUCAAAAAUAGUGAAAAGGGUGAAAAAUAUCAGUAUCUGAACAAGUUCUGUGACUGGCUAGAAAUAAGACAGCAUUAGAGGAGGAAGGCUUAGUAAAGAGGCGUGCACUACAUUAAAACACAUAACUCAUGUCAUGAUAGAAAUAAAUAAUUCCUGUAUAUCUGAAUUAGCAUGAGAUAGAUUUUGCCUAGUAUAAUUUCAAACAGAUAAUCUUCAGAAAAGGUUUGGUCAUUAUCAUCAACUAUCUGGCAGUAAUUAUCAUAUUUCCUCAAUGCAAGUAUUUGAAUGUAAAUAAAUUCAUUAAUAAAUUUAAAAGAUCAGGAUGAAGUCAGUAAUAAAGCUAAAUUUGUCUAUAAAUGAGUCCUCUGUAAGUAGUGAAGUUGUUUUAUCAAACUAAUUGGGAAGAUAUGGAAAAGCACAGUUUGAAAGAUUUGCAUAAAAUAGAUGUAGAUGUUAAUAAGAGUGAUGCUAAAAUUUGUGAAAAUGAUUUACCGGUUACUAUUUAUGUAGCUGGUUACUGCUGCUACAUGGUAUGGAAAGAAAUUGCUGCAAUAUUUGUGUGGCAUCCUGUAAUAAGGAUAGGCCUGAGAGUCAAAAUAACACUAAGGGAAUUUCCUGAGGUGUUCUCCUACGCCCAAAUCCUGCUACAGUUAUCAUGGUAACUUUAUAAUUAUCAACACACAUUCUAGCAAGCAGUUAACACUGGCAGCAAAAGUAACUCUAACUGCACUAACAGAUGAUGAUUGUCUUUUGCUUACUGACUUUUGUGAGGGCAAACACAGCUGCCUAAAUCAUGGCAAGAUAAUUAUCUGGGCAUCAACAAUCACAUUGUUAAAUAAUAAUUGCUCUAAGGAAAAUAAUAUGUUGGCAUGGAAUAGAGACAUUAAAUGCUUAUUAUACCCAGGUUUAUAAGUUUUUUUAUAAGUUUGUUUUAUUCUGCACUAUUUUUUGUAUGUAAACUGUAGCUUUUCUUAGGCUAUUAUGUAAAGGAAAAAGGUGGAAGAGGAGUGAUAUAAGUUGUAGUUUGUUUUAAAAUGGAAAUUGUAAGACUCAUCCGUAAAGGAGUAUUUUUUAUAGCAUAUAUUAUUUCCCCUGUACUGCAGAAAAGUCGUACAUAUUUUAUGUUUACCUGUAUCCUGGAAACAAAUUGAGUGAAUUCAUUAUUG